UGGGCUGGCCGGGCGACCGCGGGGAGGCGACUCCUCGAGGAAGGUCCGGGCUCCACAGGGCAGGGUGGUGGCCAACAGCCACCCGAGGUGACUCGCGGGACAGUGCCACAGAGAACAGACCGCCACCGCCUCCGGGCGGUGGUAAGGGUGAAACGGUGGUGCAAGAGACCACCAGCGCGACGGGCGACCGUCGUGGCUCGGCAAACCCCACCUGGAGCAAGACCAGACAGCGAGCGUUCGAGGGCGGCCCGCCCGAGCUCGCGGGUAGGUCGCACGAGGGUGUCGGCAACGGCACUCCGAGAUGGAUGGUCGCCAACCACGUCGUCGUGAGGCGGCGUGGCGAACAGAACCCGGCCUAUGAGCCAGCCCAUCCG
rnacentral:RNase_P_RNA from 1 species